rnacentral:sRNA from 1 species
GGUUGGGGCAGACAUAACCGUUCUUCGAGAGCGAGAAGUGGAUUAUGAUAGCGACAUGCCCCGGAAGAUCACCGAGGUGCUAGUACGAAAGGUCCCUGACAACCAACAGUUCCUAGACCUCCGUGUGGCCGUCCUGGGGAAUGUGGACUCCGGGAAGUCAACUCUGCUUGGAGUCCUGACCCAGGGAGAGCUGGACAAUGGGCGGGGCCGGGCUCGGCUCAACCUUUUCCGCCACCUGCAUGAGAUUCAGUCUGGCCGAACCUCCAGCAUCAGCUUCGAGAUCCUGGGCUUUAACAGCAAGGGAGAGGUGCAUGGGAUCAAUGGGACCCAAUGGGGCCAGACUCUGAGGAUGGGAUGGUAGUAGUGAAGGACAUAGGAUGGGGGUAGAGUGUGGAGACUUUUUGAAAUAGUAUAGAUGAAUGCCCUGAGGGGACUGUGAACAAGCUCUGCCCCUCUUAGGAAAUCAAUGGGGAAUCAACUAAAUUAAAUAAAAAAUGGGGUCAAGAUUAAGAGGCAGGGUCACCCAGGGAAUGGUUUAGGUCCUGGCAACUCUGAAGGGGUUGGAAGGGCUGGCAGGAGGCACUGAGGGCCCUGGGCCCUGGGCCAGGUGGUGAAUUACAGCGACUCACGGACAGCAGAAGAGAUCUGUGAGAGCAGCUCCAAGAUGAUCACCUUCAUCGACCUGGCAGGCCACCAUAAGUACCUACACACCACCAUCUUUGGCCUCACAUCAUACUGCCCCGACUGCGCCCUGCUCCUCGUCAGUGCCAACACUGGGAUUGCUGGCACCACAAGGGAACAUCUGGGGCUGGCCCUGGCCCUGAAAGUGCCCUUCUUCAUCGUGGUCAGCAAGAUCGACCUAUGUGCCAAGACCACAGUGGAGAGGACAGUACGCCAG